GACGAACGCUGGCGGCGUGCCUAAUACAUGCAAGUCGAGCGAGCGGAACUAACAGAUUUACUUCGGUAAUGACGUUAGGAAAGCGAGCGGCGGAUGGGUGAGUAACACGUGGGGAACCUGCCCCAUAGUCUGGGAUACCACUUGGAAACAGGUGCUAAUACCGGAUAAGAAAGCAGAUCGCAUGAUCAGCUUUUAAAAGGCGGCGUAAGCUGUCGCUAUGGGAUGGCCCCGCGGUGCAUUAGCUAGUUGGUAAGGUAAAGGCUUACCAAGGCGAUGAUGCAUAGCCGAGUUGAGAGACUGAUCGGCCACAUUGGGACUGAGACACGGCCCAAACUCCUACGGGAGGCAGCAGUAGGGAAUCUUCCACAAUGGACGCAAGUCUGAUGGAGCAACGCCGCGUGAGUGAAGAAGGUUUUCGGAUCGUAAAGCUCUGUUGUUGGUGAAGAAGGAUAGAGGUAGUAACUGGCCUUUAUUUGACGGUAAUCAACCAGAAAGUCACGGCUAACUACGUGCCAGCAGCCGCGGUAAUACGUAGGUGGCAAGCGUUGUCCGGAUUUAUUGGGCGUAAAGCGAGCGCAGGCGGAAGAAUAAGUCUGAUGUGAAAGCCCACGGCUCAACCGUGGAGGGUCAUUGGAAACUGGAAAACUUGAGUGCAGAAGAGGAAAGUGGAAUUCCAUGUGUAGCGGUGAAAUGCGCAGAGAUAUGGAGGAACACCAGUGGCGAAGGCGACUUUCUGGUCUGUAACUGACGCUGAUGUGCGAAAGCGUGGGGAUCAAACAGGAUUAGAUACCCUGGUAGUCCACGCCGUAAACGAUGAGUGCUAAGUGUUAGGGGGUUUCCGCCCCUUAGUGCUGCAGCUAACGCAUUAAGCACUCCGCCUGGGGAGUACGACCGCAAGGUUGAAACUCAAAGGAAUUGACGGGGACCCGCACAAGCGGUGGAGCAUGUGGUUUAAUUCGAAGCAACGCGAAGAACCUUACCAAAUCUUGACAUCCUUUGACAACUCUAGAGAUAGAGCCUUCCCCUUCGGGGGACAAAGUGACAGGUGGUGCAUGGUUGUCGUCAGCUCGUGUCGUGAGAUGUUGGGUUAAGUCCCGCAACGAGCGCAACCCUUAAGCUUAGUUGCCAUCAUUAAGUUGGGCACUCUAAGUUGACUGCCGGUGACAAACCGGAGGAAGGUGGGGAUGACGUCAAAUCAUCAUGCCCCUUAUGAUUUGGGCUACACACGUGCUACAAUGGACAAUACAAAGGGCAGCGAAACCGCGAGGUCAAGCAAAUCCCAUAAAGUUGUUCUCAGUUCGGAUUGUAGUCUGCAACUCGACUACAUGAAGCUGGAAUCGCUAGUAAUCGUAGAUCAGCAUGCUACGGUGAAUACGUUCCCGGGUCU
rnacentral:rRNA from 1 species